GGCAUCAUUGCAGUGAUGCUUUGGGAAUUGAAUUGCCCCCACCACAGAAUAGUGGGGUGUACGUGAGGAAUUUAUGGACUUAGAGAAGGGGCAGCUGUUUUGAACAUCAAUGGACAGCUUAAAGAAACAGAAUGACAAGUUAAAAUCCUUGAAUUCUAGGCUCAUAGCACAGACUGAAAUACAUGGAGUUUCUAGGAUCAAGAUAAAAGAAUCUCUUAUCUUUUGUUGCUGCAGGGACUGAGCUGGCAAAAAACAAAAUGUGGUAUUAGAGAUAGUAAAAUUAGACUAUCAGUUGAAUUCAGAGCUUUUCCUCGUCUCUUACGUAAAAAUUAGAGAAUUGGUAGGGAAAGAUAUUUUGGCACCCUGAACACUAACUCCCAUUGAUAGCCCAUUGACACUGAAGAAUACACUAUGAAAAUUCCUUGUACCUCUUCUUAAAGACACCCAUCGCGACUUACCAAGGUAAGGAUGCCCUGGGAAAAUGGAACUGCUAAGAUCUUUUGGAGAUGCUUAGACACAAGCAUUAAACACAUUAAUCUAUUUUGCCAAUUGGGAGGAUUUUCUCUCUGAAACCUACUGGAUGACUUGUGGAGCUCAUGGGCAAAAUAAUGCCACGAGAAGUCCAGUUUUCUCUUGUGCUUUGAUAAUAGUUUCAAAUUGCCUUAAAUAUCAACUUACCAGAAUUUACGGCAAAUGGCUGCCAGUUUGCCUAGAAACUAGAUAAGGGAUCUCAAAGGAACUGACGUGGGGGACUAAUGACAGAUUUUUUUUUUUUGGUGGGAGUGGGGCAUUGGGGAAGAGAAUCAUGGAAGAAUUUUUUAAAAUGGGCUCAGAACAUAAAGAAUAUUCAUGCUACAUAUUAAUGCAAAGGACAUUUCUAGCCAAACAGCUCAUACAUUUAGAUGGACAAGAUAACCUAAUCUCCCAAUGUAGGUCAUCUUCCUUCUAUAGCAACUUUAGAAUUUAAUGAACAAAGUGGCCAUGAUUGAAAAGAUAGUGGCUACUCACAAGCACAACAACACAGGUUUCCCCUUAGCAGUGUACCAAGAUAUUUUACCAAAAGUAGUAAAUACAAACCUACAAUACUAUAGGAUAACUGUUUGGACAAGUGUUUGUUUGAAGUCAGUUGAUGAUUGUUUUACUGCUUUUGUCGUGAAGGAUUCAUGUAGUGCCUCAAGUCAGCAUCGUUAUACCUUACACAACUGAAUGCUUAAUUCAAUGUCAUUAUAUUUCUCAUAAUUUCUUCCAAGCAAGGAACUCAAUUUCCUAUGAACAAAGCAGGAAAAUGGGGUAAUGCCCUUAGGUUACUUUAGUCUUAUAUACUUUAUUGAAGAAUAAGUUAGGUAUCAUGUCAUAGGAUACUACCUAUGAUUUGAAACAUUUGAAACAUAUAUAUUGCUAUUUAUUUCAGUCAGUACACAAUAGAAUUGAAAUUAGUACAUCUUCCAAUUAAACCUAAUUAGUUAUUCACAAUAUCUUUAUUCCUAUCUCUGAAAUAAUGGGAAUACUGGUUUAGAAACUAGUAAUAUUCAAGGGAGAAAUGUUACACCAGGGUAUUCAGUAAUGGUUGCAUGGGAGUAAACAUUGCCAGCUGGCCAAUUCAGAAUCUCAUGACCUGAGUCAGCAAACAAUCAGGUGGGUUAGUGUGUUGUAUAGGGUAAUUGAUAUUGAAAGUCAAGAGGAAAGAUAAUUGAUGAUACAUAAUACAUCAGGAAGGGUGGGUCCCCAGUUGGUCCCAUGGGGAAUUUUUAUGUGACCAUAUUUAUUUGUAAAAGACUGAGCUGUACAUAUAAAACUGGCAGGAGUUCAGAACCCCUAAGAAUGAAAGAUUUACAUAAAUCUACUUUUCCUUUCUUUCAGUCACUACUAUGGCAAGAUCAAGACUGGAUCUAGGAGAUCUCGGUUCAAUAUGGAGAUUAUCCAGAGAUUCUACUGUUGGAGCCAGAUGCUAUAACUGAAGAGGGUUAAAACUGUCUCCUUUUGGGACACCGAAACAUAGAAGCCUGCCCGGGAAGAGCAGGGUAGAACUUAUAUUCUCUUUGUUCAGCUUCCCAGAGGAAUAAGAAGGCCAGAGUGAAGCCAGGAUAGGAAGAAACAUGAAGCGAUGAAACAUACUGAACAAUUCCAUGUUUAUGGAAAAAAAUUCUGGUAAUGAACUUACUUCACACCAAAGAGACAAGGAGUAGCAUCAUUACCUCAAGCAAUAUUGCCAGAGAAAAUCUUGACACAGAGAAGACAAGCUCAGUGCUUAAUGUGAAAAUUUAUCUGCACAUACAGAACCAGUCCAUAAUACAGCACUGUUCACCAUGGUGAAGACAUGGAAUCAACCAAGGUGAUUAUCAAAAGGGAAGAGGAAUGGAUUAAAAAAUAUAUGGUAGAUAUAGACCAUGGAAUCCUAUGCUGCCGUAAAAGAGAACAAAAUCAUGUCCUUUGAGGCAACAGCAUGGAUGCAGCUGGAAGCCGUUAUCCUAAGUGAAUUAACAGAGGAACAGUAAACCAAACACCACACGGUCUUACUUAAAAGUGGGAGCUAAACAUUGGGUACUCAUGGACAUAAAGAUGCCUCAAUAGAUUACGAGGACAAACAGGAUUAAAAAACAUGCGUACUAUCCUCACCAUGUGGGACACAGGAUCAUUUUUACCCCAAACCUCAACAUCAUGCAAUAUACCCAUGUAACAAGCCUGUACAUGUACCUCCUGAAUCUACAAAAAAAAUGACUUUUUUUUUAAGAAUUUGCUGCAAUCUUGGAAAAAUUCUUCUUCAAAGUCUUCUAAAAGCAUUUUAACUUUUUAUUUACAUUUGGAAAUUCAAGCCAUCUAAAAUGAAAUCUAGCAUAUGGUCUGACAUAGGUGCCAACAUUAUUUUUAUAUACAUAUCCAGUUAAGGUGGCAUUAUUUAUUGAGAAGAUGAAGCUUCCUCUAUGGCUCUACAGUUUCUCCUUUGUCAUAGAUUAGUUUUCUCCAUUUUUGUGGGUUUGUUUGUAAACCCUGUAUUCUGUUCCACUGGUCUAUUUAUCAAUCCUUGUUUCAAUCCACACUGUUUAUAGUAAAGUGUUAUAAGAUGAUUUUUAGCUAUUAGUAUAAAAUUGCUGAUUUGCAAUUAUUCGAGACUGACUUUAUUAUUUCCUGCUUUGCAUUUCUACAUAUCUUUUAGAAUCAGCUUGUCAUUUCCCAUCCCCUUCAAAAAACACUACCAUUUUUAUUGGGAUUAUGUUGCAUCUAUAUAUACGAGAGAAUUGUCUUCUAAUUCAUAAAUAUAGCAUAUCCCAAUUUAUUUUAUUUGUUCUAAUAUCUCUUAACAAUGGUUUAUUUUCUACUUGAAGUUUCCACAGCCUUCAUUAGAUCCAUGCCAUUAUAAAUGGUAUCAUUAAAAACAAACAAACAAAAAAUUUACUUUCCGUUUGUUGCUAGUAUAUGUAACUACAAUUUAUUUUUAUACUAGCUUCAUGUCCAGUCCAGUGAUCAUCUCAAUUAACUAAUCCCAAUAAUUUGAGGUAUAUAUUUUUUUGAAUUUUCUAUGAAAAAAAAUCAUGUCUGCACAUAAGUUGAUUUUUAUUUCUGCAAUAUAAUUAUUUGGCUUAUUGUACUGGCUAGGCUUUGCCAGAUAAUUAUUAAUGGGUCAUAGGAGAUAUCCUUAUCUCAUUACAGAAGUCAUACAUCUUUCAUUAUUUCAUCAUUAAAUCUGAUAAUUCUUUCCAUUUUUAAAAUAAAUGCCUUGUUUCAGACUAAGAAAACUCUAUUUUAUUUCUAGUUUUCUGUUAUUUAAUAUUACAAAUGGGAUUUGAGAUGAUUAUUAUAAUUCUCUUUUUUGUUAAUUUAGAAAAUUGUAUUAAUUGAUCUAAAAAUUUUAAGCCACCCCUGAAGUCCUGAAAUAAAUUCAUUUUUAAAAUUUAUACAUUGUAUUUUAUUAAUUGAUAAUUUUUCUUGAUAAUAUUUUGUUUAUCAUUGUACUUAGUGAUGAAAUAAUUAUUUUUUAGGAUGUUGGUAUCAAGGUUAUGCUGGACUCAUAAAAAGAAUGUGGCAUAUUCUCAGUUUAUAAAAGUGGCUAUUUAGGACUGGUAUAAUUUAUUAUUUGUUUAAAGGUUUGAGUACAGAGUUUCUUCUGGAUAUGGAGUUUUAUCCAGAUAAUUAUUUUAAUUAGAUUCAAUUCUAAUAGGUUUUUAAAUUCAAUUCUAAUUAGAUUUUUUAUUUCUUCUAUCAGUUUUGAAAAUCUGUUUUUCUAAGAAUUUUAUUUAUUUUUUUCUAUUUAUUGGCAUAAAUUUGUUUAUAAUAUUCUGAUUUUUUUGAUUAUGUAUUCCCACAAUCACCCUGUGAAAUAAACUACCUUAAGAUUUACUGGCUUAAAAC
rnacentral:lncRNA from 1 species